rnacentral:piRNA from 1 species
ACCUGGCUCUCUGGACAGAAGAC